rnacentral:rRNA from 1 species
UACAGAGGGUGCGAGCGUUGUUCGGAAUUAUUGGGCGUAAAGGGCGCGUAGGCGGCGCCACAAGUCACCUGUGAAAACUCUGGGCUCAACCCAGAGCCUGCAGGCGAAACUGUGGUGCUGGAGUAUGGGAGAGGUGCGUGGAAUUCCCGGUGUAGCGGUGAAAUGCGCAGAUAUCAGGAGGAACACCGGUGGCGAAGGCGGGUCUCUGGAACGCAACUGACGCUGAGACGCGAAAGCGUGGGGAGCAAACAGG